rnacentral:rRNA from 1 species
GAUGAACGCUGGCGGCGUGCCUAAUACAUGCAAGUCGAGCGAACAGACGAGGAGCUUGCUCCUCUGACGUUAGCGGCGGACGGGUGAGUAACACGUGGAUAACCUACCUAUAAGACUGGGAUAACUUCGGGAAACCGGAGCUAAUACCGGAUAAUAUAUUGAACCGCAUGGUUCAAUAGUGAAAGACGGUUUUGCUGUCACUUAUAGAUGGAUCCGCGCCGCAUUAGCUAGUUGGUAAGGUAACGGCUUACCAAGGCAACGAUGCGUAGCCGACCUGAGAGGGUGAUCGGCCACACUGGAACUGAGACACGGUCCAGACCCCUACGGGAGGCAGCAGUAGGGAAUCUUCCGCAAUGGGCGAAAGCCUGACGGAGCAACGCCGCGUGAGUGAUGAAGGUCUUCGGAUCGUAAAACUCUGUUAUUAGGGAAGAACAAAUGUGUAAGUAACUAUGCACGUCUUGACGGUACCUAAUCAGAAAGCCACGGCUAACUACG